rnacentral:rRNA from 1 species
UACGAAGGGAGCUAGCGUUGUUCGGAAUCACUGGGCGUAAAGCGCACGUAGGCGGAUGAUUAAGUCAGGGGUGAAAUCCCGAGGCUCAACCUCGGAACUGCCUUUGAUACUGGUCAUCUUGAGUCCGGGAGAGGUGAGUGGAACUCCUAGUGUAGAGGUGAAAUUCGUAGAUGUUAGGAAGAACACCAGUGGCGAAGGCGGCUCACUGGCCCGGAACUGACGCUGAGGUACGAAAGCGUGGGGAGCAAACAGG